rnacentral:rRNA from 1 species
GAUCCUGGCUCAGAUUGAACGCUGGCGGCAGGCCUAACACAUGCAAGUCGAACGGUAACAGGAAGAAGCUUGCUUCUUUGCUGACGAGUGGCGGACGGGUGAGUAAUGUCUGGGAAACUGCCUGAUGGAGGGGGGAUAACUACUGGAGACGGUAGCUAAUACCGCAUAACGUCGCAAGACCAAAGAGGGGGGACCUUCGGGCCUCUUGCCAUCGGAUGUGCCCAGAUGGGAUUAGCUAUAGG